CCAGGAGACCCUCUAGCCGUCCGCUUUCUAUGACCCCACGUCAGAUUAGACUGGUUGGUCCCGGAAUGAUUAACCAAUGAUACGAUCCCUAACUGGUCUCAGGGGAUGAUCAAUCGCUCUGAAACGGACACAGCAUAAAAUAUAAUACGGGAGGCAGCAGUGGGGAAUAUUGGACAAUGGGCGAAAGCCUGAUCCGACCAUGCCGCGUGUGUGAAGAAGGUCUUCGGAUUGUAGACCACUUUAGUUUGGGAGGAAGGGCAUUAACCUAAUACGUUAUUGUUGUGACGUUACCGACAGAAUAAGCACCGGCUAACUCUGUGCCAGCAGCCGCGGUAAUACAGAGGGUGCAAGCGUUAAUCAGAAUUACUGGGCGUAAAGCGCGCGUACGUGGUUCGUUAAGUUGGAUGUGAAAUCCCCGGGCUCAACCUGGGAACUGCAUUCAAAACUGUCGAGCUAGAGUAUGGUAGAGGGUGGUGGAAUUUCCUGUGUAGCGGUGAAAUGCGUAGAUAUAGGAAGGAACACCAGUGGCGAAGGUGACCACCUGGACUGAUACUGACACUGAGGUGCGAAAGCGUGGGGAGCAAACAGGAUUAGAUACGCUGAUAGUCCACGCCGUAAACGAUGUCAACUAGCCGUUGGGAGCCUUGAGCUCUUAGUAGAGCAGCUAACGCAUCAAGUUGCCCGCGUGGGGAGUACGGCCGCAAGGUUAAAACUCAAAUGUAUUGAUGGGGGCCCGCACAAGCAGCAGACACAUGUGGUUUAAUUUGAACCAACGCGAAGAACUUUACCAGGCCUAGACAUACAAUGAACUUUCCACAGAUGGAAUGGUGCGUUCGGGAACAUUGAGACAGGUGCUGCAUUGCUCUCGUCAGCUUGCGUUAGUGAGAUGUGGGGCUAAGUCCCGUAACGAGCGCAACCUUUUCCUUUAGUUCCCAGCACGUUACGUUGCGCACUUUAAGGAGACGCCCGCCGACAAACCAAUCGAAGGUGGGGAUGACUUCAAGUCAUCAUCCCCCAUACGGCCUGGGCUACACAGUUGGUACAAUGGUGGGUACAGAGGCAUGUCAAGCCGCGACGGGGCGCUAAUCCCACAAAUCCGAUGCUAGUCCGGAUCGCAGUCUGCAAGUCCACUGCGAGAAGUAGGACUGAG
rnacentral:rRNA from 1 species